AGAAAGACAUGAGGAGAAUGCUGUGUGCGCAGGCUUGCAGUUCUUCCCAGGCUAUUACCAGCCUCUCUUAACCUUUAUGAAAUUUGUCUUUUCUUUCCUAGGACACUACUGCCCCAAGAGUACAGAAUUUGCCACACAGUACCCUUGUCCCCCUGGAACCUACUGUGAAGCUUUAAAUAUCUGGGAUGUCUCCAAGUGCCAGCUGUGUCCUCCUGGAAGGGUCUGUUCCAAGCCAGGCCUAGCAAGACCAGAUGGACUCUGCAUGCCUGGAUGGUUUUGUCCACCCGGAUCCACAUCAAGCAAACCAGUGUUUCCUGGGAGUCACUCUGGUAUUAAGGGGAAUUUUAAAGCUUGAUGAUGGUUAUUAGUGAGGGGUGGUAUUGCAGAGUCACCCAGAGGACCCAGCCAGGAUCAGGAUGGCUUGAACUUUUCCCUUGUUACUCUUCUGAAUUCUGUGCUGUAGUUCUGUUCUUCCUGGUUUGUGUGUGUCUUUGUUUUUUCUGUUUGUUUGUUUGUUUGUUUUUAAGAUAGAGCUCUUCCAGUUUUUAUAUUUCGCCUCAGUCUGUCCUUUGCAUUAGCAGGUGUGGCAAGUGCAGCUUCUGGAUCAGUUGGACUGUGCCAAGCAGGAACCUUUUGUCCCGCUGGUUCAUUUCUUCCUGUUCCCUGCACUCCAGGUUUGUACUGUGCAACUGCAGAGCUGGCAGCUCCAUCGGGUCCCUGUGAGGCUGGCUUCUACUGCACGAGGGGCUCCAUGCUCCCCAACCCCAUGGAUGGAGCAGUGGGGAACGUUUGUCCUCGAGGCCACUUCUGUCCUGCAGGGAGUUCUUCUCCAUCUCCGUGCCCCCGAGGCUCCUUUUUGGCCCAUCGGGGUGGUCAGUCAGUCCAGGACUGCCAGGCUUGCUUCCCAGGGUGGUUCUGUUCUCAGCGUGGCCAGAGCUCCCCAGAGGGUUUGUGUAAAGAGGGAUGGUUUUGCCCAGAGGGCUCUGUGUCAGGCCAGCGUUCAGGUAGGAAGGCUGUGGGUGAUUCCUUACCUACAGGAGUUGCAAUGGCAAGAUGGUCUUAAAGUCUGUCUUUGCUUACCAUGGCAAGUACCAUGUAGAAAUGAGUAGCUGUUGCGAUGAAAAAUAUGUUUUGCAAAACUUCUCCUCAGUGACACAGGUGAAGUAGUGGGUAAUUGUGCGUAAAUGAAGUAGUAAAAAUAAGCAGUGUUUACUGGGAUCUUACCGGGGGCUAAGAACAAGCGGAGAAGAUAGUCGUAGAGGAGAUUCUUACUUGGGGUAUUUCCAGCUCUGCUGGAAAGAGCUAGUGAAAGAGAUAUGUGUGGUUGUCCGUUCUGCAUUUUGUAAGGAUGGUGUAGGGAUAGCUGCAGUAAAGGUUCUGUGUAACUCAAAUCCUGCAGUAUUAGGAACGUAAAGGGAGCUCUACGAGAAGAAAAUUGGUGACC
rnacentral:lncRNA from 1 species